rnacentral:lncRNA from 1 species
AGAAGCCUCUCACAAUCCAGUGGCGGCUGUUUACACAUACCAGCUGUCUGCGAGGGGGUUUUUUAAUUUAUACACAGGCAUGGAUAUGUAUCCAGAUAUCUUUCCUGGAAGUUGUUUACCACCCUGGAGGCAUCAGGGAGAUCUGGGGAGGACACGAACCCACCACCCUACAAGGAGAUGGAGUUGAGAGCUGCCUGCCUAACUGGGGACUGAAAGCGAGGAAGAAAUAGUCGUGGUGGUGAAGGGGCUUGGCAAGAUCCUGACUUGUUGCUGUAGCAAUGGAAGGGCAGCGAAGGGCUUGGCUUGACUUUGGGCUUGUCAAGGCAGAUCCCACCUCAGCAGUCAUAGCAAAGAGUAUGUAUCCGAGCCCAAAGGAGGCAGAACUAAGAGUGGAGAGUGUAAAAUGAUUAUUUAUUAUGGAAAUUUUAUUUAUAAAAUUAUUUGUUUCUUAUUUGCUUUUUGCAUUUAUAGCUCUCCAUUUUGUGCGUAUCCCCUCUUCCUCAAUGACUCCCCACAACGACCCUGUGAGGUAGGAUAGACUUUUGAUUGGCUCAAGGCCUCAAGGCCUCCCAGUGAGCGACAUGGCCACAUAGGGCUUUGUUUUGGUUUUGUUAUUUGGUAAAUAUUUCUUAUUCUAUUUUAUAAUGCAUAUAAAACAGAGAGGACAGUUAUUAAAAAUAGGUGAAAAUGAAAAAUGAAAACCAAACUAUGGAAUAGGAACAUCGAAUAAGUGCAGUUGCACAGGUGUUAGAAUAACCAAAUAAAGAAUAUGAGCCGUAUCUAAUCAAGUAUAAUUCCAGAUUUUCCAAGCCAAGUGGGGAUUUGAACCCUGGUUUCUCCCAGGUCAUACUUUGAACCCUCUAACCCCAUGGUUCCCAACCACACGCCCCACAGAAGGGCUAUUUGAUUUUUAAGGGGGGGCGAGAAUGAGUUAUUAACAGUGAAUGGCCUUUUAGGCUUCCUCCAUGUGAAUAGGAGUUCACUUUUUGAAUAAUAAGAAUUAUAUAGUGGUACCUCGGGUUAAGUACUUAAUUCGUUCUGGAGGUCCGUUCUUAACCUGAAACUGUUCUUAACCUGAAGCACCACUCUAGCUAAUGGGGCCUUCUGCUGCCGCCGCGCUGCCGGAGCACGAUUUCUGUUCUCAUCCUGAAUCAAAGUUCUUAACCCGAGGUAAUAUUUCUGGGUUAGCAGAGUCUGUAACCUGAAGUAUAUGUAGCCUGAAGCGUAUGUAACCUGAGGUACCACUGUAUAUCAUUGGGGGGGGGGCAUCAGGAUUUUAGAGAUGCUUAGGUGGGGCAUGGCCAAAAAAUGGUUGGUAAACACUGCUCUAACCGCUACACCAGAUGGCUUUAGUUCAUGGCAGUUGGUUUAACGAUUAAGGGCCAAGGAGAUGCCUGGAGGAUUCCUCAUCACUGAUGGGAUAAGAGCAACUUCAUGCCUUCAAAAUGUCUCUUAUCUACUAGGCCCAGUCUGUAUUUUCUGGCUCCUGUCAUUACUAGCAGUACAUUGUUUCUAUAUUGAGGAGAAAAACUUCCACAGAGUCCAGUGGGGUUUACUCAAGACCAGAGCUGGCUUGCGUAAAAUUCCAGAAAGAAUUACAUACCCAGGAACGAAAAGAGUGGCAAGAGGCACAAAUUGUGAUGGAUGUCUUCCAGAUUGUUAAGUUGUGGGCGAACACAGAUACCAUCUCAUUUCUGAUGUCAGUCCAAGACAAGCAAUUGCAGAGCAAAAUGUUGUAUUCAAAAGGAAGCAGAGAACAGCCAGAGGGAGACAGUGGUGGUGCAGUGGUUAGAGUGUCGGACUAGGACCCAGGAGACCAGAGUUCGAAUCUCCACUUGGCCAUGGAUCUCACUAGGUCACCUGGGGAGCCAGUCACUGUCUCUCAGCCUAACCUACCUCACAAGGUGGUUGUGGGGAUUUUAAAAAGAGGGGAGAUUUAUAUAUGCCACCUUGAGCUCCUUGGGGGAAAAGUGUAAUAAAUAAAAUAAAUUAAUAACAUCUGCUCUAUAUUUUGGAAAGUGGUUUGUCUCUGUGUGUGUCUGUCCAUUUGUUCUCUAUACUUUUGAACACUUCUCAAGAUAAUAUCACCAAAUUCGGCACAAAGAUUCCCAAGGUGGGGGCGGCAGUAUUGGGCGCCAUUUUGAAACAAGAUGGCAGAACGAAACAUGACAUUGGCAUGACUUCACCUGGUUCUUGGGGUGAUGGGUCCAAAUUCACAAAUUACACUAUUCACUUAAAAACACAAUUUUUGGUUUCUAAAAAUUCCCCAGGCAGCACCAGGCACUUCUUGCUCAUAAAUAAACAGUUGGCAGCAGCAUUCACCAACCUGAUGCCCUUCAGAUGUUUAGGACUACCACUCCUAUCAGCCCCAACCAGGAGGGCCAAUCCGGAGAGCUCUUGGGGGUUGUAGUCCAGCAACAACUGGAGGACCACAGUCUCCCCACCUGCUAUGCCAGUGAAAUCAAAUGGGAGUGUUCUACAAAAAAAAAUUCACUGAUUUCUGUCCCAUGAGAAAUAUUAACAGCAAACAGGCAAAAUUUUACUUUUAAAAUAAAGAAGAAUGUGGUUAUGGGCAAAGUUUAGCAAGGGAUAACAUGAAGGCUAAAUUUAAAUUUUAUUUUAAAAAUUAUUUUAUUUUUAAGUAAAUUUUAUUUUUUUUAUAUUGCCCCAAUAAAAACUUGUACCUUGAUACUGAAUAAGCCUUCUCUCUAUCUUUCGGAAAAACAAAUCUCAUGAAACUCCCUCUUUAAAAAAAUGAGCAGCCCCAGGUGGCUAUAAUGCCAUCUUAUUUAUUUCCCCACCUUUGUUUAUUAUUAUUAUUCAACAUGCCCCUAUUUUGUUUAACAUCUUUUUACUGAUUGAUUUCAUUUAUAUCCCACCCUUUUGUCCAAGGAGCUCAAGGUGGCACAAUGCUUCCCCCACCCUCAUUUAAUCCUCACAACGCCCCUGUGAGGUAGGUUAGGCUGAGAGGCAGUGUCUGGCCUCUGAGGUCACCCAGUGAACUUCAUGGCCAAGUGGGGAUUUGAACCCUGGUCUCUGAGGUCUUGGUCCGACACUCCAACCACAACACCACACUGACUCUCCAGAUGAAGUUUUGGAGAACUCUGGAGCUCGCCAGAUUGGUCUUAAUCAAGGUUUUGCUCAAUUGAGGACCUGAAGUCCCUGCCCCCACCUUAUAGACCAACAUUUUCUUAUAUAAGCUUAUGAAAAACAACCAAGAGUUUUGCAGCACGCUGAAGAUAGACAGAAUUACUGCAACGGAAGUUUGCUCAGGGUAGAAGCUUACCUCAUCAGGUGAACUCUAGUCCAAAAAGUUUAUGCUAUAACAAAUCUGUUUGUCUUCAAAACGCCGCAAGACACUUGUGUUGUGUACACACAGAGACAUUUUAUUAUAGAAUAAAUGGAGACUGAACACUUGUUUUCUUCUAUAGAGUCUGCACACAAUGUAAUAAAUAUAAUAAUAAUAACUUUUUCUUUAUACCCUGCCCUUCCCGGUUCAAAAACCGGCUAACAACAAAUUUAGAACGCUUAAUUAUAAAAGCAGCAUAAAAUACAGUAUAAAAACAUGGAUAACAAUAAAAUUCAAAAAUCAAAAAUCAGUUUAGGGGAAAUAAGCAUUAGAUAAUCCCCAGGGCUAGCUGGCUGAAUUGGUCCUACUUGGGCCAGGGGAGAAUUAGCUGUGGGGUCUCAGAGCAGGUGAUCUAUUACAUAUUUUUUGUCCCUAGCUGCCUAAAAACACUAACCUAUUUGUAGCACAAAAAAAUACAGUUUUCCUCAAUCUAGAACAGUUCAUGCCUGUCCUCAACCAUCCUCCUUCAUUGGAGGUUUUAAAACGGAUGUAGGAUGGCCACCUGUCAGGGAUUCUUUAGCUGCGAUUCCUGCAUUGCAGGGGGUUGGGUUGGACUAGAUGGCCUGUGGGAGCCCUGCCAACUCGACAGUUCUAUGAUUCAACCAGCUGCGUUCGCCCUAGAUUGAGUCGAAAGCCUGCAGUGGGUGUGGUUACUUGAUAGGCAGUUGAUAACGCUCCCCUUUAUUAGUUCGCCCACGUCUUUCUCUCCCUGGACAUGCCCCAGGUGAAUGAAGGACGUGGUGAUUGUGAUCUUGGUAUUUGCCCACCCACAAGGUCAUUGGGUGGGUGUGGAGACACGCUCAUCUGCUGCCUUGCUUGUUUUUGCGGUCACAGGCUAAUACGACUAUUGGCUACCAAUCUGGGAGCUUAUGAAAGAUCACCUAGUAAUUAGCUGAUGGAUCAAGGCCAUGCUUAAUUGUCCACCCAUCAGUAAAAAUUUGGACACUAGAAAGAAAUCAUGGCAGUACCAAGUACAGUGGUACCUCGGGUUACAGACUCUUCAGGUUACAUAUGCUUCAGGUUACAGACUCUGCUAACCCAGAAAUAGUGCUUCAGGUUAAGACCUUUGCUUCAGGAUGAGAACAGAAAUCGUGCUCCGGCGGCACAGUGGCAGCGGGAGGCCCCAUUAGCUAAAGUGGUGCUUCAGGUUAAGAACAGUUUCAGGUUAAGUAUGGACCUCCAGAACAAAUUAAGUACUUAACUCGAGGUACCACUGUAUGCAAGCUUUGGGCCUAUCACAGAGCUCUUUAUCAAGACAGAGCAAGGGCACUCGAAAGCUUUCCCAUUGCUAUAUCAUAACAGCUGGUCCAACCUUAAAAAGAGAUGUUGUCAUCUUUAUCUCUUCUGGAAAUCAAAGCACUGGCCACUGUAUACUAAACUUAUCAGCCCAGAAAUUCCCACUUGUUUUAUUUUGGACUUUUCUUUAAAAACAAAUGACUCAAAAGGUAUAUAACUUCCCUGCCUGUUUUGUUUUUCAGGAAAUGUAGGGCAAAUGACGCCCUUGGUUAUUGACAUUAAACAGUGCCCUACUUAAGCCCAGAAGAGUCAGCAACAAUGGCAGCCAAGGAUGGAAGGAAGCCUCAUUGGACAGAGAGGGAUUUACUUCUGAGUAAACAUGUGCAGGGUUGUCUCCAGGGAAAGGCUAAAAGCUCAGGGCAGUGCCGG